AGGGUUCGAUUCUGGCUCAGGACGAACGCUGGCGGCGCGCCUAACACAUGCAAGUCGAACGAGAGAUGAGGAGCUUGCUCUUCAAAUCGAGUGGCGAACGGGUGAGUAACGCGUGGGUAACCUGCCUUGUACAGGGGGAUAACAGUUGGAAACGGCUGCUAAUACCGCAUAAGCGCACAGCAUCGCAUGAUGCAGUGUGAAAAACUCCGGUGGUAUAAGAUGGACCCGCGUUGGAUUAGCUAGUUGGUGAGGUAACGGCCCACCAAGGCGACGAUCCAUAGCCGACCUGAGAGGGUGACCGGCCACAUUGGGACUGAGACACGGCCCAA
rnacentral:rRNA from 1 species